rnacentral:rRNA from 1 species
AACGCGAAGAACCUUACCUGGGCUUGACAUCCUCUGAACAUCUAAGAGAUUAGGUUUCCGGGCAACCGGACAGAGAGACAGGUGCUGCAUGGCUGUCGUCAGCUCGUGCCGUGAGGUGUUGGGUUAAGUCCCGCAACGAGCGCAACCCUUGUCGUGUGUUGGUCCACAAGAUCUCUCACACGAGACCGCCGGUGACAAGCCGGAGGAAGGUGAGGAUGAUGUCAAGUCCGCAUGGCCUUUAUGUCUGGGGCUACACACGUGCUACAAUGGUCGGUACAGAAGGCAGCAAGACCGCAAGGUGGAGCAAAUCCGUAAAGCCGAUCACAGUUCAGAUUGUAGUCUGCAACUCGACUACAUGAAGUUGGAAUUGCUAGUAAUGACGUGUCAGCAACAACGUCGUGAAUACGUUCCCGGGCCUUGUACACACCGCUCGCGA